rnacentral:rRNA from 1 species
CUUGGUGGUUUUAGCGGAGAGGUUACACACGAUCCCAUUCCGAACUCGAACGUUAAGGGCUCCAGCGCCG